AGUCGAGCGGUAACAGGCGUAGCAAUACGUGCUGACGAGCGGCGAACGGGUGAGUAAUGCUUCGGAAUCUACCUCGUAGUGGGGAGUAACUAACCGAAAGGUUAGCUAAUGCCGCAUACGACCUUUGGGUGAAAGCGGGGGAUCGCAAGACCUCGCGCUAUGAGAUGAGCCGAAGUCGGAUUAGCUAGUUGGUGAGGUAACGGCUCACCAAGGCGACAAUCCGUAGCUGGUCUGAGAGGACGACCAGCCACACUGGGACUGAGACACGGCCCAGACUCCUACGGGAGGCAGCAGUGGGGAAUAUUGGACAAUGGGGGCAACCCUGAUCCAGCGACGCCGCGUGUGUGAAGAAGGCCUGCGGGUUGUAAAGCACUUUUAGUGGGGACAAAAAGCCGAGGGCUAACACCCUUCGGUCUUGAUUUAACCCAAAGAAAAAGCACCGGCUAACUCUGUGCCAGCAGCCGCGGUAAUACAGAGGGUGCGAGCGUUAAUCGGAAUUACUGGGCGUAAAGCGUGCGCAGACGGUUUCGUAAGUCGGGUGUGAAAGCCCCGGGCUCAACCUGGGAAUUGCAUUCGAAACUGCGAGGCUAGGGUACGGAAGAGGGAAGCGGAAUUUCUGGUGUAGCGGUGAAAUGCGUAGAUAUCAGAAGGAACAUCAGUGGCGAAAGCGGCUUCCUGGUCCAGUACCGACGUUCAGGCACGAAAGCGUGGGGAGCAAACAGGAUUAGAUACCCUGUAGUCCACGCCAUAAACGAUGAGAACUAGACGUUGAGAGGGUUAGCCUCCCAGUGUCGCAGCUAACGCGCUAAGUUCUCCGCCUGGGGAGUACGGCCGC
rnacentral:rRNA from 1 species